AGCAGCCGCGGUAAUUCCAGCUCCAAUAGCGUAUAUUAAAGUUGUUGCAGUUAAAAAGCUCGUAGUUGAAUUUCGGGGUUCAUCCGUUGGUCGGGCUUUUUGGUCUGUACUGGCGUGAUGGAUUCCUACCUUCUGAAUAACCAGCAUGUCAUUAAUUUGGUGCGCCGGGGAAGCAGGACUGUUACCUUGAAAAAAUUGAGUGCUUAAAGCAGGCUUAUGCCUGAAUACAUUAGCAUGGAAUAAUGAAAUAGGACGGCAUGGUUCUAUUUUGUUGGUUUCUAGGAUCACCGUAAUGAUUAAUAGGGAUAGUUGGGGGCAUUAGUAUUCAAUUGUACAGAGGUGAAAAUUCUUGGAUUUAUUGAAGACUAAACUUCUGACGAAAGCAAUUUGCCAAGGAUUGUUUUCAGUUAAUCAAGAACGAAAGUUAGGGGACUACGAAGACGAUC
rnacentral:rRNA from 1 species